ACUCCUACGGGAGGCAGCAGUGAGGAAUAUUGGUCAAUGGGCGAGAGCCUGAACCAGCCAAGUCGCGUGAAGGAUGAAGGUUCUAUGGAUUGUAAACUUCUUUUGUAAGGGAAUAAAAAGUAGUAUGUGUACUAUAUUGUAUGUACUUUACGAAUAAGGAUCGGCUAACUCCGUGCCAGCAGCCGCGGUAAU
rnacentral:rRNA from 1 species